rnacentral:lncRNA from 1 species
UUUUAACAGAUUUCAAUACAGAAAGAUUCGCAUUAUUUGAAAAUAUUAAAAACUACAAAUUGAAUUUUUAGCAGUUUUUACUGAAAUUCUGUCCAUGUGUCCCCUUAAGGAAGGAGCCAGGAAUACUGUGGAAGAGGCAGGUACGUUGGUUACCAAACUGAAAGGUGUUUUGGUGUACCAACAAGGAUAUAUUAAUAGAAUGUUCGAGAAAAGGAGUGUUCAGAAGUGUGAUGACUUAUCUACUGAGGAAUGUAUUCAGCCUGUAUCGGAAGAAGUUUUACCAAUUAAAUCUAAGGAUAAGAGUAUGGGUGGAAAUGAGGUGAAGAAAUUUUUACAGGGCUUAAAUUAACAUUAAGAAAAUGAAAAUUGGUGUAAAAAGAUUAAAGAUGACUAGGAAUAAAAGUCUG